GAUGGAAAACAUCUCGACUGUUGCCAGUGUGAACGACAUGACUUCACCGACAAUGAUCGCUUAUCUGGCAACCACGGACACAAAUGGAUGCACCACGAAACCAUGUCUCCACGGGACCUGUGUGAACCAAGCUCCUGGUUACGACUGCGCCUGUUUUCCUGGAUGGACUGGCCCAAACUGUACGCAAGACAUAGAUGAGUGUAACAGGCACCCUUG